rnacentral:misc_RNA from 1 species
UUUCCGUAGGUGAACCUGCGGAAGGAUCAUUGUCGAAACCUGCCCAGCAGAACGACCCGCGAACUUGUAUAAACAACCGGGGGCGGGGGGCGUUCUCGCCCCGUGCCCCCGAACGGCGGGGAGACACUCGUGCCUUCUUGCCGAACAACGAACCCCGGCGCGGUCUGCGCCAAGGAACUUCAACUAAAGAGUGCCUCCGGUCGCCUCGGAAACGGCGUGCGUGCCGGGGGCGAAUCUUGUGCAAAACCAUAACGACUCUCGGCAACGGAUAUCUCGGCUCUCGCAUCGAUGAGAACGCAGC